rnacentral:rRNA from 1 species
GUCUUUUUGUUAAUAAUUUAAAGUCUAGCCUGCCCACUGAUAAUUUAAAUGGCUGCGGUAUUCUGACCGUACAAAGGUAGCAUAAUUAUUAGUUUCUUAAUUAGGAGCUUGUAUGAAAGGUUGGACGAGGGAAUCUCUGUCUCAUAUUAAUUUUUAUUUGAAUUUUAUUUUUAAGUUAAAAAGCUUAAAUAAAUUUAGAAGACGAGAAGACCCUAUAGAGUUUUAUAUUAUUUAUAUUGAAAAAUUUAUUUGAAUAGUUAUUGGUUUUGUAUAAGUAGUAUUUUGUUGGGGUGCCAGGAAAAUUUGAGUAACUUUUCUUAUAUUUGAACAUAGAUUUAUGAGUAAAUGAUCCAAUUAUUUUGAUUAUAAGAUUAAAUUACCUUAGGGAUAACAGCGUUAUUUUACUAGAGAGUUCAAAUCGAAAGUAAAGUUUGCGACCUCGAUGUUGGAUUAAAAUGCAUUAUUGGUGUAGAAGCUAAUAAAUUGAGUCUGUUCGACUUUUAAAAUUUU